ACACGACUACAUUAGAUACCCCUGUAGUCCUAGCCGUAAACGAUACUCGCUAGGUGUCGGCCACGGUGCGACCGUUGUCGGUGCCGUAGGGAAGCCGUGAAGCGAGCCACCUGGGAAGUACGGCCGCAAGGCUGAAACUUAAAGGAAUUGGCGGGGGAGCACCACAACGGGUGGAGCUUGCGGUUUAAUUGGAUUCAACGCCGGAGAUCUUACCGGGACCGACAGCAACAUGAAGGCCAGGCUGAAGACUUUGCCGGAUUAGCUG
rnacentral:rRNA from 1 species